GUGGGGAAUAUUGGACAAUGGGCGCAAGCCUGAUCCAGCCAUACCGCGUGGGUGAAGAAGGCCUUCGGGUUGUAAAGCCCUUUUGUUGGGAAAGAAAUCCAGCUGGCUAAUACCCGGUUGGGAUGACGGUACCCAAAGAAUAAGCACCGGCUAACUUCGUGCCAGCAGCCGCGGUAAUACGAAGGGUGCAAGCGUUACUCGGAAUUACUGGGCGUAAAGCGUGCGUAGGUGGUCGUUUAAGUCCGUUGUGAAAGCCCUGGGCUCAACCUGGGAACUGCAGUGGAUACUGGGCGACUAGAAUGUGGUAGAGGGUAGCGGAAUUCCUGGUGUAGCAGUGAAAUGCGUAGAGAUCAGGAGGAACAUCCAUGGCGAAGGCAGCUACCUGGACCAACAUUGACACUGAGGCACGAAAGCGUGGGGAGCAA
rnacentral:rRNA from 1 species